GAUGAACGCUGGCGGCGUGCCUAAUACAUGCAAGUCGAGCGAAGCGGGGACGGGUGAGUAACACGUGGAUAACCUCCUAUAAGACUGUGAUAACUUCAGGAAACUCGAGCUAAAACGGAUACUUAAAAAUGGAUCCGGGCUGCAUUAGCUCGUUGGUAAGGUAAUGGCUUACCAAGCAAAAGAUGCAUAGCCGACCUGAGAGGGUGAUCGGCCACACUGGAACUGAGACACGGUCCAGACUCCUACGGGAGGCAGCAGUAGGGAAUCUUCCGCAAUGGGCGAAAGCCUGACGGAGUAACGCCGCGUGAGUGAUGAAGGUCUUCGGAUCGUAAAACUCUGUUAUUAGGGAAGCGGUACCUAAUCAGAAAGCCACGGCUAACUACGUGCCAGCAGCCGCGGUAAUUC
rnacentral:rRNA from 1 species